GAUGAACGCUGGCGGCGUGCCUAAUACAUGCAAGUCGAGCGAACGGACGAGAAGCUUGCUUCUCUGAUGUUAGCGGCGGACGGGUGAGUAACACGUGGAUAACCUACCUCUAAGACUGGGAUAACUUCGUGAAACCGGAGCUACUACCGGCUAAUAUUUUGAACCGCAUGGUUCAAAAGUGAAAGACGGUCUUGCUGUCACUUAUAGAUGGAUCCGCGCUGCAUUAGCUAGUUGGUAAGGUAACGGCCUACCAAGGCAACGAUGCAUAGCCGACCUGAGAGGGUGAUCAGCCACACUGGAACUGAGACACGGUCCAGACUCCUACGGGAGGCAGCAGUAGGGAAUCUUCCGCAAUGGGCGAAAGCCUGACGGAGCAACGCCGCGUGAGUGAUGAAGGUCUUCGGAUCGUAAAACUCUGUUAUUAGGGAAGAAAAUCUGUGUAAGUAACCGUGCACAUCCUGACGGUACCCAAUCAGAAAGCAACGGCUAACUACGUG
rnacentral:rRNA from 1 species